CCUACGGGAGGCAGCAGUGGGGAAUAUUGGACAAUGGGCGAAAGCCUGAUCCAGCCAUGCCGCGUGUGUGAAGAAGGUCUUCGGAUUGUAAAGCACUUUAAGUUGGGAGGAAGGGCAUUAACCUAAUACGUUAGUGUUUUGACGUACCGACAGAAUAAGCACCGGCUAACUUCGUGCCAGCA
rnacentral:rRNA from 1 species